UGCAAUGACAUGAGUUUCCUUGUUUCCAUGUUCUCUAGCAGCACAACCCGGACCAGCCUCAAACCUCUCCAGCAGACCCUGAACAGGGUGUAACGACCCCGCUGGACCAGCCACAGAGCAUCGCAUCUCCAUACUUGGAGCUGAGGAAGAACAGCAGAUGCAUGACUAUGUAGUGUGAUAAAAAAUGAAACCAUAACUGCAGUGGGGUGUACACCAAUAUUCCUCGUUAUCGCAUAACGACAGUUCUAAUUUCGCUCUGCUCCUCUCUAUGAUGUGUGGGUGACACAAUAGACAGACUGGUGUCUGCGUGCUGAGGCUAAAUCCCUGCCGGAGGGGACUGGAAAAUUUCCCACAAGAAACUAUGUAACAGUUUUCACUUUCGUUCUGACACAUAAAAUAAAGACCUUUGACUUGUGGCUGCUUGAGCAGAGGAAAUACCACA